rnacentral:rRNA from 1 species
GAUUAAUGCUAGCUGUGCGCCUAACACAUGCAAGUCGAGCGAGAGCAGGACAUUAGCUUGCUAAAGUUCUGUGAAAGCGGCAAACGGGUGAGUAACACGUUGGUAUCUACCUCUUACUCGGGAAUAAUUCAUCGAAAGGUGGACUAAUACCGGAUGGUCCCGCAAGGGUAAAGCUACGGCGGUAAGAGAGGAACCUGCGUCCUAUCAGCUUGUUGGCGGGGUAAAAGCCCACCAAGGCUAUGACGGGUAGUUGGUCUGAGAGGACGACCAGCCACAAUGGAACUGAGACACGGUCCAUACUCCUACGGGAGGCAGCAGUGAGGAAUUUUCCGCAAUGGCCUUUUGGCUGACGGAGCGACACAGCGUGGAGGACGAAGGAUUUCGGUUCGUAAACUCCUUUUCUGAGGGAAUAAGGUCUGAAGUUACCUCAGGAAUAAGCACCGGCUAACUACGUGCCAGCAGCCGCGGUAAUACGUAGGGUGCAAGCAUUAUCCGGAAUUAUUGGGCGUAAAGCGUCUGUAGGCGGUUUGUUAAGUAGGAGAUAAAAUCUUCGAGCCCAACUCGAAACAUGUUUCCUAAACUGGUGAACUAGAGGUAUGGAGGGGUAACUGGAAUUUCUGGUGUAGGGGUAAAAUCCGUUGAUAUCAGAAGGAACGCUAAAAGCGAAGGCAGGUUACUGGCCAUUUCUGACGCUGAGAGACGAAAGCGUGGGUAGCAAACAGGAUUAGAUACCCUGGUAGUCCACGCCGUAAACGAUGAGUACUAGGUGUUAGUAGUUCGAUCCUACUAGUGCCGUAGCUAACGCGUUAAGUACUCCGCCUGAGGACUACGGUCGCAAGAUUAAAACUCAAAGGAAUAGACGGGGACCCACACAAGCGGUGGAGCAUGUUGUUUAAUUCGACGACAAACGGAGAACCUUACCCAGGCUUGACAUCCAGAGAACCUGCUAGAAAUAGCGGGGUGCCGCAAGGAGCUCUGAGACAAGCGCUGCAUGGUCGUCGUCAGCUCGUGCCUUGAGGUGUUCGGUUAGGUCCGUGAACGAGCGCAACCCACGUCAUGUGUUAUAUAUUUCACAUGAGACUGCCCGUGUUAAACGGGAGGAAGGUGUGGAUGACGUCAGAUCAGCAUGGCCUUUAUGCCUGGGGCUACUAACGUGCUACAAUGGAGUGUACAAAGGGUAGCGAAACUGUAAAGUGGAGCCAAUCCCAUCAAAGCACUUCCCAGUUCGGAUUGAGGGCUGCAACUCGACCUCAUGAAGCUGGAAUCGCUAGUAAUCGUGUAUCAGAUAUGACACGGUGAAUAUGUUCCUGGGUCUUGUACUCACCGCCCGUCAAGUCAUGGAAGGUAGGGGCACUCGACGUCCUCCGAUCAAUUAGGAGGCCUAAGGUGACACUACUGACUGGGACU